rnacentral:rRNA from 1 species
GACGAACGCUGGCGGCGUGCUUAACACAUGCAAGUCGAACGGAAAGGCCCUGCUUUUGUGGGGUGCUCGAGUGGCGAACGGGUGAGUAACACGUGAGUAACCUGCCCUUGACUUUGGGAUAACUUUAGGAAACUGGGGCUACUACCGGAUAGGAGCUCCUGCUGCAUGGUGGGGGUUGGAAAGUUUCGGCGGUGGGGGAUGGACUCGCGGCUUAGCAGCUUGUUGGUGGGGUAGUGGCUUACCAAGGCUUCGACGGGUAGCCGGCCUGAGAGGGUGACCAGCCACAGUGAGACUGAGAUACGGCCCAGACUCCUACGGGAGCCAGCGGUGGGAAAUGUGACACAAUGGCAGGGAGCCUGAUGCAGCAACGCCCCGUGCGGGAUGGCGGCCUUCGGGUUAUGAACCGCUUUCGCCUGUAACGAAGCGUAUAUGACGGUAAUGGGUAAAAGAACACCGGCUAACUACGUG